rnacentral:piRNA from 1 species
UAAUAGAGACCAUGUAUAAUGUCAGCCA